GACGAACGCUGGCGGCGUGCUUAACACAUGCAAGCCGAGCGGAAAGGCCACUUCGGUGGUACUCGAGCGGCGAACGGGUGAGUAACACGUGAGUAAUCUGCCCUUGGCUUCGGGAUAGCCACCGGAAACGGUGAUUAAUACCGGAUAUGACCACUUCUCGCAUGGGUUGUGGUGGAAAGUUUUUUCGGCCAGGGAUGUGCUCGCGGCCUAUCAGCUUGAUGGUGAGGUAAUGGCUCACCAUGGCUUCGACGGGUAGCCGGCCUGAGAGGGUGACCGGUCACACUGGGACUGAGACACGGCCCAGACUCCUACGGGAGGCAGCAGUGGGGAAUAUUGGACAAUGGGCGGAAGCCUGAUCCAGCAACGCCGCGUGAGGGAUGACGGCCUUCGGGUUGUAAACCUCUUUCGCCUGUGACGAAGCGCAAGUGACGGUAACAGGUAAAGAAGCACCGGCCAACUACGUGCCAGCCGCCGCCGUAAAAC
rnacentral:rRNA from 1 species